rnacentral:rRNA from 1 species
CCUACGGGCGGCUGCAGUGGGGAAUAUUGGACAAUGGGGGCAACCCUGAUCCAGCCAUGCCGCGUGUGUGAAGAAGGCCCUCGGGUUGUAAAGCACUUUCAGUGAGGAAGAACGCCUGGUGGUUAAUACCCAUCAGGAAAGACAUCACUCACAGAAGAAGCACCGGCUAACUCCGUGCCAGCAGCCGCGGUGAUACGGAGGGUGCGAGCGUUAAUCGGAAUUACUGGGCGUAAAGCGCGCGUAGGUGGCUUGAUAAGCCGGUUGUGAAAGCCCCGGGCUCAACCUGGGAACGGCAUCCGGAACUGUCAAGCUAGAGUGCAGGAGAGGAAGGUAGAAUUCCCGGUGUAGCGGUGAAAUGCGUAGAGAUCGGGAGGAAUACCAGUGGCGAAGGCGGCCUUCUGGACUGACACUGACACUGAGGUGCGAAAGCGUGGGUAGCAAACAGGAUUAGAUACCCUGGUAGUC